GCAUUGGUGGUUCAGUGGUAGAAUUCUUGCCUCCCACGUGUGAGUCCUGUGUCCGAACCCUGGCCAAUGCA
rnacentral:tRNA from 1 species